rnacentral:rRNA from 1 species
UACGAAGGGGGCUAGCGUUGCUCGGAAUUACUGGGCGUAAAGGGCGCGUAGGCGGACAGUUUAGUCAGAGGUGAAAGCCCAGGGCUCAACCUUGGAAUUGCCUUUGAUACUGGCUGUCUUGAGUUCGGGAGAGGUGAGUGGAACUCCGAGUGUAGAGGUGAAAUUCGUAGAUAUUCGGAAGAACACCAGUGGCGAAGGCGACUCACUGGCCCGGUACUGACGCUGAGGUGCGGAAAGCGUGGGGGAGCAAACAGG